rnacentral:pre_miRNA from 1 species
AAAGUACUCCCUUAGUUUCGAAUUAUUUAUCGCAGAUAUGGAUGUAUUUAGAUGUAUUUUAGUUUUAAAUACAUCCAUUUCUACGACGAAUAAUUUGGAACGGAGAGAGUACUUU